UACGAAGGGGGCUAGCGUUGUUCGGAAUUACUGGGCGUAAAGCGCGCGUAGGCGGUGAUCUUUGUCAGAGGUGAAAUCCCGAGGCUCAACUUCGGAAUUGCCUUUGAAACGGGAUCGCUUGAGUCCGAGAGAGGAUGGCGGAAUUCCUAGUGUAGAGGUGAAAUUCGUAGAUAUUAGGAAGAACACCGGUGGCGAAGGCGGCCAUCUGGCUCGGUACUGACGCUCAGGCGCGAAAGCGUGGGGAGCAAAC
rnacentral:rRNA from 1 species